rnacentral:rRNA from 1 species
UACGUAGGGGGCAAGCGUUGUCCGGAAUUAUUGGGCGUAAAGAGCUUGUAGGCGGUUUGUCGCGUCUGCUGUGAAAUUUCGGGGCUCAACCCCGAACUUGCAGUGGGUACGGGCAGACUAGAGUGUGGUAGGGGAGACUGGAAUUCCUGGUGUAGCGGUGAAAUGCGCAGAUAUCAGGAGGAACACCCGUAGCGAAGGCGGCACUCUGGGCCGGUACUGACGCUGAGGAGCGAAAGCGUGGGGAGCAAACAGG